rnacentral:rRNA from 3 species
AUAUCAAUAAGCGGAGGAAAAGAAACCAACCGGGAUUGCCUCAGUAACGGCGAGUGAAGCGGCAAAAGCUCAAAUUUGAAAUCUCCGUAAGGCGAGUUGUAAUUUGAAGAAGCAACUUUGGACUGGUGCCUUGUCUAUGUUCCUUGGAACAGGACGUCACAGAGGGUGAGAAUCCCGUGCGAUGAGGACCACCAGGCCAUGUAAAGUGCUUUCGACGAGUCGAGUUGUUUGGGAAUGCAGCUCUAAGUGGGUGGUAAAUUCCAUCUAAAGCUAAAUAUUGGCGAGAGACCGAUAGCGAACAAGUACAGUGAUGGAAAGAUGAAAAGCACUUUGAAAAGAGAGUGAAAAAGUACGUGAAAUUGUUGAAAGGGAAGGGCUUGAGAUCAGACUUGGUGACUCGUCACUGGGCCAGCAUCGGUUUGGGUGGUAGGACAAUACCGUAGGAACGUAGCUCAUUGAGUGUUAUAGCCUGCGGGGAUACUGCCUAUCCAGACCGAGGACUGCGGCAACUAGGAUGCUGGCAUAAUG